GAUGAACGCUGGCGGCGUGCCUAAUACAUGCAAGUCGAGCGAACAGACGAGGAGCUUGCUCCUCUGACGUUAGCGGCGGACGGGUGAGUAACACGUGGAUAACCUACCUAUAAGACUGGGAUAACUUCGGGAAACCGGAGCUAAUACCGGAUAAUAUAUUGAACCGCAUGGUUCAAUAGUGAAAGACGGUUUUGCUGUCACUUAUAGAUGGAUCCGCGCCGCAUUAGCUAGUUGGUAAGGUAACGGCUUACCAAGGCGACGAUGCGUAGCCGACCUGAGAGGGUGAUCGGCCACACUGGAACUGAAACACGGUCCAGCCUCCUACGGGAGGCACCAGUAGGGAUUCUUCCGCAAUGGGCGAACGCCUGACGGAGCACCCCCGCGUGAGUGAUAAAGGUUUUCGGAUCGUAAAACUCUUUUAUUGGGGAAAAACAAAUGUGUAAGUAACUAUGCACGUCUUGACGGUCCCUAAUCAGAAAGCCACGGCUAACUACGUG
rnacentral:rRNA from 1 species